rnacentral:rRNA from 1 species
GGCACUGGAACUGAGACACGGUCCAGACUCCUACGGGAGGCAGCAGUGGGGAAUAUUGCACAAUGGGGGAAACCCUGAUGCAGCCAUGCCGCGUGUGUGAAGAAGGCCUUCGGGUUGUAAAGCACUUUCAGCGAGGAGGAAAGGGCAGUAGCUAAUAUCUGCUGGCUGUUUGACGUUACUCGCAGAAGAAGCACCGGCUAACUCCGUGCCAGCAGCCGCGGUAAUACGGAGGGUGCAAGCGUUAAUCGGAAUUACUGGGCGUAAAGCGCACGCAGGCGGUUUGGAUAAGUUAGAUGUGAAAGCCCCGGGCUCAACCUGGGAAUUGCAUUUGAAACUGGCAAGCUAGAGUCUUGUAGAGGGGGGUAGAAUUCCAGGUGUAGCGGUGAAAUGCGUAGAGAUCUGGAGGAAUACCGGUGGCGAAGGCA